GAUGAACGCUGGCGGUCUGCUUAACACAUGCAAGUCGAACGGGGUGCUUCGGCACCUAGUGGCGGACGGGUGAGUAACGCGUGAGGAUCUGCCCUUAGGACCGGGACAACAGCUGGAAACGGCUGCUAAUACCGGAUGUGCCGGAAGGUGAAACAUUAAUGGCCUGAGGAUGAACUCGCGUCUGAUUAGCUAGUUGGUAGUGUAAUGGACUACCAAGGCGACGAUCAGUAGCUGGUCUGAGAGGAUGACCAGCCACACUGGGACUGAGACACGGCCCAGACUCCUACGGGAGGCAGCAGUGGGGAAUUUUCCGCAAUGGGGGCAACCCUGACGGAGCAAGACCGCGUGGGGGAAGAAGGUUUGUGGAUUGUAAACCCCUUUUGAUUGGGAAGAAGUCAGUGACGGUACCAAUCGAAUCAGCAUCGGCUAACUCCGUGCCAGCCGCCGCGGUAAUAC
rnacentral:rRNA from 1 species